rnacentral:rRNA from 1 species
UACGUAGGGUGCAAGCGUUAAUCGGAAUUACUGGGCGUAAAGCGUGCGCAGGCGGUUGUGCAAGACAGAUGUGAAAUCCCCGGGCUCAACCUGGGAAUUGCAUUUGUGACUGCACGGCUAGAGUGUGUCAGAGGGGGGUAGAAUUCCACGUGUAGCGGUGAAAUGCGUAGAGAUGUGGAGGAACACCGAUGGCGAAGGCAGCCUUCUGGGCCAACACUGACGCUCAUGCACGAAAGCGUGGGGAGCAAACAGG